UCUGAAUUAUUGCCUUGACCGUCUUAUUCCCCAGCAUGUUAUAUAAAAGAGCUAAUACAGACAUAAUCGUUUUUCAAUCGGUUUUCAUAUCUCUCACAUACCCUUCUUAAAUUUCAUGUUUGUAUGCUCCAUAGAUAUGUAGUAGUGAACGUUAUUAACGUAAUAUUGAGGUUUUUAAAGCCGCGAUAUAACAACCACUGAUUUAAAAGUAUGCCGAGGAGUAUCAUAGUCAUAAAUGUUUCUGAAUUUCUACGUUCAGUCGGUACUCUUGUGAUAUUUCGACCAGAAUAUAUGAAAUAUUUGCCACUGAAAGUUUGGGAACCACUACCUAAUCUUAUAAUAGCUUACAGGAAAAACAGAUUUUAGAACGAAUGUGCAAACAACCAUACCAACAGACCUCAAAUACAUACUGAGGCUAAGGACAAGAUUUAUUCAAAAGCAACAAAACAAUCAACUCUACCCAAGAAAACAACAAAAGUUUACGAUUCGAACUAAAUAGAAAAACUAAUUUUCGUGGCAAAAUUUAUAGGCCAGAAGAUCAACUUGAAAACAGUUUGAUGUGUAUUUGGGCAUAAAGCGAAAACGGUUUGCUGGGAAGGGAAAAAAAUGAUCUCUAACUAGCAAUAUAUCAAAGUUUUUAAUUUCAGUGAAUGGAAAGGCCGUAUCUACACAAAACAGUGUUGGAUUAUGAUGAUCUAAGUGUGAGGGUAUCCUCUGCUCUGGAUGAUGUUCUUGAAUCUUAUUUGAUAAUCUUAUACACAAAUGUAUUGCGAUUCAUUAUUUGUAGAUUUAACUAGACAUGUUUUAAUUCUGUCAUAUGGAGAUUACAAGCAUACCCUGAAUAGAUGAAUCGAAUUUGAAGAAUAUCAAAAUCAGUUUCAUUAAAG
rnacentral:lncRNA from 1 species